UUACUUCCGCAGCACAUAUACUAAAAUAGGAGUAAAACAGUGAAGAUUAGCAUGGCCCUGUGCAAGGAUAACACACAAAUUUGUGAAAUGUUCCAUAUCAAG